UACGAGGGGGGCAAGCGUUGUUCGGAAUUAUUGGGGCGUAAAGGGCGCGUAGGCGGUUUGACAAGUCAUGAUGUGAAAUCUCUGGGCUCAACCCAGGAGCUCUGCAUUAGAAACGUGUCGAGCUUGAGUAUGGGAGAGUGAGUGGAAUUUCCGGUGUAGCGGUGAAAUGCGUAGAUAUCGGAAGGAACACCUGUGGCGAAAGCGGCUCACUGGACCAUAACUGACGCUGAGGCGCGAAAGCGUAGGGAGCAAACAGGAU
rnacentral:rRNA from 1 species